rnacentral:rRNA from 1 species
GAGCGCGUGUAGCAAUACACGAGCGGCAGACGGGAGAGUAACACGUGGGAACGUACCCUUCGGUUCGGAAUAACCCAGGGAAACUUGGACUAAUACCGGAUACGUCCGAAAGGAGAAAGAUUCAUCGCCGAAGGAUCGGCCCGCGGCUGAUUAGCUAGUUGGUAGGGUAAUGGCCUACCAAGGCGACGAUCCAUAGCUGGUCUGAGAGGAUGAUCAGCCACACUGGGACUGAGACACGGCCCAGACUCCUACGGGAGGCAGCAGUGGGGAAUAUUGGACAAUGGGCGCAAGCCUGAUCCAGCCAUGCCGCGUGAGUGAAGAAGGCCUUAGGGUUGUAAAGCUCUUUUGGCGGGGACGAUAAUGACGGUACCCGCAGAAUAAGCCCCGGCUAACUUCGUG